UCUGCAGGUCAUAUCUCAGCAACCCAAAG
rnacentral:piRNA from 1 species